UUUUUGCAUGUUCGUCGGUAAUAUCUUCAAAUUGACAGAACAACAUGAAAGCCUCUGACCAAUCAGCGGAAGCUUCUCAAAGCCUGGUUGUGAAUCAUCGUCCCGAUGUUCGGCGAGUACGCCGACCAAUGAGAGGCUGCCAAUUUGCCGAAGUUCCCGUAUGUGAUUAGGUAUUGGCAUAUGGAUAAUCAGCUGUUGUGGGCGGAGCUUCCGCCACACGAUUGAUAACACGACAGCGCCUGGGAGUCAGGAAGGGGCUUGCAAGGGGGACAAAGGAUUCCUACUUGGGACAUUGCCAACAAAGUGCAUGCUUUCUCUCGGCAAUGCGAAUUUCCCGCGCAAAGACAAGGAGUUCCAGUGAAAUUGGCAGAAGAAACAGGCAAGAAGCAAAAGGCACGUGAGACUUCAGGACGUCACGAACACUCUACUAAAGGUCAGCUUCAAGAAUUGGAAUUAUACGAGGGAGGAUAACUAGUCCGCGAUUUUCUGUGCCUCGUGACUGUGGUCUCAAGAACGUUUCCAACGCAACUAAACGUCAUUCAAAGCGUCAGUGGGCGAGCCUACGUCACCGCUGAUGCCUGCAACAGGAAACGCGGGCGUGUCACACUCCGCGGAUUCCGUCCUCCGUAAAAGUCACCCCUGCACCAGCCUCCCAGGUAUGUGACGGUCUAUCGACCCGCCCAUCUGUUCUGAAUAUCGGAUGUGGCGCCAUGGUGCAUCUCCUUGCCGCCUCCGACUGACGUUCAUCUUCAGCAAC